UACGACUACAUAUCAGGCAUAUCAAUAAGCGGAGGAAAAGAAACUAACAAGGAUUCCCUAGUAACGGCGAGUGAAGCGGGAAGAGCUCAAAUUUGAAAUCUUAAAGGGUUUCCCUUUACGAAUUGUAGUCUAAAGAAGCUGUUUUCUGUUAGAUGAGUUAGGCUAAAAGUUCCUUGGAAUAGGACAUCAUAGAGGGUGAGAAUCCCGUAUUUGACGUUAUUCAUUCUAGCUGUGUGAUACACUUUCAAAGAGUCGGAUUGUUUGGGAAUGCAGUCCAAAAUGGGUGGUAAAUUUCAUCUAAAGCUAAAUAUUGGCGAGAGACCGAUAGCGAACAAGUACCGUGAGGGAAAGAUGAAAAGAACUUUGAAAAGAGAGUUAAACAGUACGUGAAAUUGUCAAAAGGGAAGCGUUUGACACCAGUGUUGUUUAGUUCGAAAAUCAAUUCAAUAGUUUUUGAUUCUAAGUAGUAUUGACUUCAUCAGCUUGCUGCUUUCUUCUCAGAAAUUAUUGAAUGCACUUUUCAGUUAACAAGUCAACAUCAAUUUCUUUUGUUGUAAAAGGGUAAGAGGAAGGUGGCUUGCGCUUCGGCUCAAGUGUUUAUAGCCUUUUAUCUCUGCAAUCGGAGAGAUUGAGGUCUGCAGCGUAGAUCCUUCGGAGUUAGAUACAUUGGUGCUAAGCUAUAGCCUUGUAUAGACAACUUGUUGACUAUGCUCAGUCAUGUAGCUUACUCGCUGAUGCUAUUAUACCUACGCUUAGGAUGUUGAGUAGCGACAUACGCAC
rnacentral:rRNA from 1 species